rnacentral:rRNA from 1 species
UACGUAGGUGGCAAGCGUUGUCCGGAUUUAUUGGGCGUAAAGCGCGCGCAGGCGGUCCUUUAAGUCUGAUGUGAAAGCCCACGGCUCAACCGUGGAGGGUCAUUGGAAACUGGGGGACUUGAGUGCAGAAGAGGAAAGCGGAAUUCCACGUGUAGCGGUGAAAUGCGUAGAGAUGUGGAGGAACACCAGUGGCGAAGGCGGCUUUCUGGUCUGUAACUGACGCUGAGGCGCGAAAGCGUGGGGAGCGAACCGG